rnacentral:lncRNA from 1 species
UUUUUUUUUUUUUUUUUUUUUUUAAUUUAAACCUGCCACAGUAACUUUCGGGGUGUAGGGCUAACCCACCUUCCCCAGUCUUGCUUCUCGUUUUCUGGAAGGGUAAUGAGAUUCCACCUGGCUGGGUUAAUGAAGCAGAGGAGGCGCUGAUUCGCUGCAGGGCCCGGUCCAGUCCCAUUCAGAAUUUGAAUGGUGUCAAGUGAGGGAGGUCUGCAGCAUGGUUGGAAUUCGAGUAAUUGUGUCUACUUCAGCAGUUGCCAAGUAAUUAGCAGAAUCCUUAAAAGUGAGUCGAUCUUAAACAACUGGUCCCUCAAGUAGAUGAUAUAAAGAUUAGCUUUAUUUUUUUAAGUUUUAAAAGGCCAUCUCGUUUUUCAUUCAUGAAUACAGAAUGUUUCCUACUGUCAUUAUUCCUGAACACCAACUUGACGUUCCCAUCCCACCCCACACUUGAAGGACUACAGAGCAAAUUUUCUUGUCAUCUGGGGCUCACCUCCAGUGUCAGGCCCCCACAAAUACUCUUGAUCACCAUACUUCUUAGUUCUUGGUCCUCCUAAACUACUUCAUACCCCUCCUAUUUUCUUAAUAGCUCCUAAUCGCUAAAAAAAAAAUACUUUGUAGCAGCAUUAUUUAAGUCUGCUCUCCCCCUACAAGAAUGUAAAUUUCACAGAGGAGAAAGUGGAAGACUUUACCUGUUUGUUCAUGUAUACACUCGAGUCAACAGAAGCCUCAUAUACAUUCGGGGCACCCUAUGUUUGUUGACAUGCCGAAUGAAUACAUUUCUCUCCCUCAUUCUUGGCAGGACGAUCUUCAACAGUUGCAAUGCCUUGCCUUUGGUGGGCAAGUUGCCAGUAGGGUACAGUUCUCACUUUCUCUUUACCGGUGUGAUUUUCUCGAGAUCGAUCCGUUUCCUCCGCUGUGCAGUUAAGGGCACACAGUGACAGACCUUUAAGCAUCCUGUUGUAAGAUGCUUACUAUGAAGACGGAUAUGAAGCUUUGGCACCACGUUUAUUACUGAGUAAAUAAAAAUAGAGCUACUAGUUUAAAAAUGGAAAAACUGCUAAAGCGAAAUCAGCGUAGUCAAGUUGUCCCAGGCCUGAAUGUUUCCGUUCGUUUGGAACACUGGUGUUUCUUCAUUCCUCUUUCCUCCUACCUGUAAACCAAACUCAUUCUUAGUGGUGGUGAAAACUGUCACAGUAAUAUAAUAUAGUAUUAAUUUAAACAAACUCAAAGCGUUCUUUCUCUGUCAGGGGCCCUAACUCUAAUGUGUUGUUGAUUUUGGACACAGAAUAGUAGCUAAAAGGUGUUGUCUAAAAUUAUCCUUUAAUUGACUCGAUUGAAUAUCACAAGGAUUAGAGCUACAAGUCAAUAUGGGAGGACGGUUUGGAUGUAGUACUUAAUACUCAGAUGACUACCUUGAUAAAGUAUGUUAUUAUAAAGAAUAAACUGCAGAGCGUGUUACUCAGCCUCAGUUUCGUAGCAGUACAGUCAGCUCUCAGUGUUUCCACGGUCCACUGCUGAAUAGGAGUGGCCGCCCUGCCUCAUCCUCGCAACUAGUCAUUUCUGGAAGUGUAACUUCAAGACCGAGUUCAGAGAACACAGCAUUUUAGAGCUAGCUACAAGAGAUCUUGAAGUUGCAGGCUACAUCCUUUCAGAACCGUCUCUGAAAUGACUUAGGUAGUAAAGGGAUUUGCUCAAGAUUCAGAGCUGGGACUAGAACCUAGAAUCUGGAGUUUGUGUUGUUGUGGAAGCCCCAGCGUUAGUCCAAGUACCAACAGGUGGGGAGGAAUUGCUCCUCCGACUAACAGAUUGUCUGCCUCUUGCUUGUGAACACUUUACAGGGAGUAAAAUCAUACCUCACUUGGAUUUGUAUCUUCCCAUGUCUCCCAUCUGAGGGAUUCAACAAAUACUUGCUGAAUCUGGUUGGACAAAUGGCUUUUCAGUGGAUAACAUACUUAAGAAGUGAAAACUAGGAAAGGAGUUUUUCUGGCAAAUAAGAAUAGGCCUUCGCAGUUUUAUGGUGAUGAUGCUACCAAUUUUAAUGUCUCUAAGUUUUAAUGAAAGUGACAUGGAACUUUUCAUGUGCGCUCUGUCUUGGUUAGCAUAGUGGUAUCUGGAGACAUAAGUUUGUUCACGUAGUGGGUCUUACAUUUGUAACAAUAGUCAGUAGAAAAGAAAGCCUGAAUUUCAGUUCUGUGUCUAGCAGGAAGCCCUCUCUAUAAUGAGGUACUUGACUUUGGGAGAAGUUCUCUCAUUUUGUGUGUGUGUGUGUGUGUGUGUGUGUGUGUACACGUGCGUGCACAUAGUGGUGGCAGCAUUGGUGCUGUGUACACUGAAGGAUUGUGUGAGCAUGGUCUACUGUAGAAGGACCUGGUAUAGAAAGGGCUCUUAAUGAGUUAUAUCUGAAAGUUGGGUGUGUUUGUGCAUACAUCUGUAAUCCCAGUACUUGUGAAGUUGAGGCAGGAGGAUCAGGAGUUCAAGGUCAUCCUGGGCUACGUAAUGAGUUCAAGGCCAGCUUUUACUAAAUGACACCUGGUCUCAAAAGAAAACAAACCAACAAUAAAAUAAAUACUAACUGUUCUACAUUCCACACGUAUGCAUCCGUGGGGCUGACACGGAGGGAUUAAAUGACCCCUGUGGCCCCUGAGGUCUGGCCCAACUCUUUGGUUUUAGGAACAGGCUACAUUUGUGCUGUUCUGAAUUUUUAAUUUUUAAUUAAAGUGAUACCUAUAUUCCUACAUCCUGUGAACUG